UUAAUAACAUAUUCACAUUCUCGUUUUCACAUGAUAUAUUCCGUCUAGUGGUGACCAAGUUCACAGAAAGCAUCUCUUAAUCUCUUAGUUGAAUGAAAGUAGAAUAGCACAGGGUGCAGACAAAUCAAGUCUCCUAUUUCUCUAGACUCAUUUCAGUCUCUCUGGUUUACUCUCUCAGAGCUCUCUGGCUUUUUGUUCUUACACAGCACCCUAAUUUUUGUGUAGUUAUCUGUUUAAUAUUUACCCCAUUCCUAGAUUAAAGGACUAAUAAAAGAAUAUAUUCCAUGUUUUUCCACCUUCUGUUUAGUUACCUGCACUGUGUGGGAUGCAGAGAAGGUGCUCAGUACAUAUUUAUCUUAGUAAUUAAUCAAGAAUAUGGGUAGACGCUGGAGGCAUGAUGGGCAAACUCAAAGGGAAUUGAGCCCUGACAGCAAAUACGUGAAAGAGCCUCAGAUGUAGGAGUCCCCACUCCAGCUUUUUGAAAGUGUAGAAAGGCACAGAACUAGAAUUGAUAAGCCAGCAGCCUAGGGAACUAUUUAAAUUCAUUGUGAAGGAGAACUUUCCAACUCUCUGAGUUUAUCUCCAGAUUAAAUAAAACAUCUUGGACUUCAUCACAGAAUAUGAUCAAGAAGAGGCUGGCUCAUGGAAAACUGGAGAUGCCUGGGCUGAAUCAAGGGAGGUCACCCUAAAUAGGUUAGUAUCACUUAAUUAUAGUUUAUAAAAUAACUACAGAUGUUGAAGGCUCAGAAAAAUUAGUCAAUGGAAAGAGAAAGAAAGACGAUUGGAUAAUUGAAAACAAUGACUUUGGAGGUUCAUAUAGCUCUCCAAGGGAAUCAAAUUUUCUUUUAUUAUCAGUGAAUAGUGUAAGGGAGGGACCACCUGUUUUUGGUGACAUUUGGGCA
rnacentral:lncRNA from 1 species